rnacentral:lncRNA from 1 species
GUCUUCUACCGGCCCUCUCUUUUCACUUACUUCACCGCUCCUUCCCCUGCCUUAUGCGGAACUCUACCAACAAGCCAGCCUACUUCUUGGCAUCAACCGGUGCGCCUUCUUCGGUAAAGGACUGUCUUCUUCCUCGAGUGCUUUAGUAGGGGCAGAUGGAAGGAGCCUAAUGUCUUAGCUGUUUUAGUGCACUUGUGUCCAUCUUCAGUAGGUAGACAUGACUAUAAG